rnacentral:tRNA from 1 species
GGGGCGUUAGUUAAGACGGUUAUAACGCCGGCCUGUCACGCCGGAGGCCACGGGUUCGAGUCCCGUACGCCCCG